rnacentral:rRNA from 1 species
GGGAAUCUUGCGCAAUGGGGGAAACCCUGACGCAGCAACGCCGCGUGGGUGAUGAAGGCCUUCGGGUCGUAAAGCCCUGUCAGGUGGGAAGAAACGUGCUGAUACGAAUAAUAUCAGCAUUUGACGGUACUACCGGAGGAAGCACCGGCUAACUCCGUGCCAGCAGCCGCGGUAAUACGGAGGGUGCAAGCGUUGUUCGGAAUUAUUGGGCGUAAAGCGCGUGUAGGCGGUCGAGUAAGUCAGAUGUGAAAGCCUUCCGCUUAACGGGAGAAGUGCAUUUGAAACUGCUUGGCUAGAGUACGGGAGAGGAGAGUGGAAUUCCCGGUGUAGAGGUGAAAUUCGUAGAUAUCGGGAGGAACACCAGUGGCGAAGGCGGCUCUCUGGUCCGAUACUGACGCUGAGACGCGAAAGCGUGGGGAGCAAACAGGAUUAGA